CCUGAAUCCCGAAUUUCUUCAUCUCUUCUGCUGCAUCAGAAUGAGUUUCUUCUGUGUUCGGCUCCAGUGUUUCUUCUGGUGAUGUUUCCAUCUCAAAAAUCUGGUCCUUGAGGAGGUUUACUUUCUGCUGCAGCUCCUGGAUGCAAUCAAGGGCUUUGAGUACUUGCAUUUGUGAUAUUCGGGACCAAUGCGCGUAGUGCAAGUAGCCUUCCACUUAGCUUCUCCCUUCUCCUCCUCUCGGCGAACAGAUUUUUGGAUUUGAAUUCACCGUCAGUUUUGGAUUUGAAGGUCAUCCUUCCCCCUCCGCUGCCCUCUUCUUCUGCUAAGCAUAAUUCAUCCAAGACACAACUCACAGAGUUCAUAUUUCUGGAUAUGUUUUGAUCAAAGUUAGUUUUAACAAGUGAGAGAGAGAGAGAGAGAGAGAGAGUAGUUUCUGUUACGAAAUCAUACAGAUGGUCCUCACAAGGGUAUCGUUCCAUUGUGUGUGAGGGAGAGGAAUUUUUUAGAGUCUAACUAACUAGAGAGAGAGAGAGGGAGAGAGAAAUGUCCUAGACAUUCAGUGUAGUACGUCCAAUUGGUUAGGGGUUGUUCUAAUAUGUACACUUAUAAUAUACUUUUACUGUAGUAAUCUUGAUCGCUCAAUUUAAUCCGUCGGAUGAGUUUAAAGAGAGGAACAAGAAGUAGCUUGAUUUCAA